CUUGCGCAGGCGCCCUCGGCAAGGCACGCGGGACUCUGCACGCACGCGGGACUCUGCACGCACGCGGAACUCUGCACGCGCGCUGAGCCCGGCAUCACCUUUCCUUCUUGAUGGGUGCUGUGCUUACAGGGACCGUGGCCUGCAGAGAGAGAGAGAGCAUGAGCAGGGUGAGGGGCAGAGCGAGAAGCAGACUCCCUGCUGAGUAAGGAACCCAAUGCACGACUGGAUCCCAGGACUCCGGAAUUAUGACCUGAGCCGAAGGUAGAUGCAGCCUACCAACUGAGCCACCCAGGCCCCCCAAGUAAUCGGUUUAACACGACCUCCAACUAAAAAUUGAGAACCACUGCUCUAGAAGGGGCGCCUGAGUGGCACAGCGGUUAAGCGUCUGCCUUCAGCUCAGGGCGUGAUCCCCGCG